UACGGAGGGUGCGAGCGUUGUCCGGAAUCACUGGGCGUAAAGGGCGCGUAGGUGGCGGAGCAAGUCAACGGUGAAAGCUCGACGCUCAACGUCGAGUCGGCCGUCGAUACUGCUUUGCUGGAGCACUGUAGAGGCAGAUGGAAUUCCGGGUGUAGCGGUGGAAUGCGUAGAGAUCCGGAAGAACACCGGUGGCGAAGGCGGUCUGCUGGGCAGUAGCUGACACUGAGGCGCGACACGUGGGGAGCAAACAGG
rnacentral:rRNA from 1 species